AAAUAUUAAAUGAUGAUUUCAUAGUUCAUCUGAGUACUUUGAUGUAUAUGCAUUUGUCUUUCGCUCCUAUCUGAUUAUAUUU